rnacentral:rRNA from 1 species
GACGGAGGGUGCUAGCGUUGUUCGGAAUCACUGGGCGUAAAGGGCGCGUAGGCGGCCUUGCAAGUCGGUUGGUGAAAGCCCCGGGGCUCAACCCCGGAGGUGCGGCCGAGACUGCAGGGCUGGAGGCCGGAAGAGGAGGGUGGAAUACCCAGUGUAGAGGUGAAAUUCGUAGAUAUUGGGUGGAACACCGGUGGCGAAAGCGGCUCGUCUGGUCCGGACCUGACGCUGAGGCGCGAAAGCGUGGGGAGC